UACGGAGGGUGCAAGCGUUGCUCGGAAUCACUGGGCGUAAAGCGCCCGCAGGCGGUCUGACAAGUCGGAUGUGAAAGCCCUGGGCUCAACUCAGGAACAGCAUUCGAAACUGGCAGACUCGAGUACGGGAGAGGGGGGUGGAAUUCCUGGUGUAGGGGUGAAAUUCGUUGAUAUCAGGAGGAACACCGGCGGCGAAGGCAAUCCCCUGGGCCUGCACUGACGCUCAUGCACGAAAGCGUGGGGAGCAAACAGG
rnacentral:rRNA from 1 species